rnacentral:rRNA from 1 species
AGAGUUUGAUCCUGGCUCAGGAUGAACGCUGGCGGCGUGCUUAACACAUGCAAGUCGAACGAGAAGCUUGUUUUCGGAUAAGCGGAGAGUGGCGCACGGGUGAGUAACACGUAACUAAUCUGCCUCAGAGAGCGGGAUAACGCGUCGAAAGAUGUGCUAAUACCGCAUAAGCUCACGAUCUGUAGAGGAUAGUGAGAAAAACUCCGGUGCUCUGAGAUGAGGUUGCGGUCCAUCAGCUAGUUGGUGAGGUAAAAGCUUACCAAGGCGACGACGGAUAGGGGGCCUGAGAGGGUGACCCCCCACACUGGGACUGAGACACGGCCCAGACUCCUACGGGAGGCAGCAGUGAGGAAUAUUGCGCAAUGGACGAAAGUCUGACGCAGCGACGCCGCGUGGGUGAUGAAGGUUCUCGGAUCGUAAAGCCCUUUUCUUGGUGACGAAAAGGACGGUAGCCAAGGAAUAAGUGUCGGCUAACUACGUGCCAGCAGCCGCGGUAAAACGUAGGACGCAAGCGUUAUCCGGAAUUACUGGGCGUAAAGCGCGCGCAGGCGGGUUAUCAAGUCAUGUGUGAAAGCUCCCGGCUAAACUGGGAGAGGUCAGAUGAUACUGAUAGCCUGGAGUGCAUCAGAGGUAAGUGGAAUUCCGCGUGUAGUGGUGAAAAGCAUGGGUAGCGAACGGGAUUAGAAACCCCGGUAGUCCAUGCCGUAAACGAUGUGUACUAGAUGUUCGUGUGUCGUAAAGGCAUGUGAGUGUCGAAGCUAACGCGAUAAGUACACCGCCUGGGGAGUACGGUCGCAAGGCUAAAACUCAAAGGAAUUGACGGGGGCCCGCACAAGCAGCGGAGCGUGUGGUUUAAUUCGAGUCUACGCGAAGAACCUUACCUAGAUUUGACAUGGUAGUGGUAGAGAAAUGAAAGUGGAUCGACCCUUCGGGGAGCUAUCACAGGUGCUGCAUGGCUGUCGUCAGCUCGUGUCGUGAGAUGUUCGGUUAAGUCCGGAAACGAGCGCAACCCCUAUCGUUAGUUACAAGUGUCUAGCGAGACUGCCCUCGACAAGGGGGAGGAAGGUGGGGAUGAUGUCAAGUCAGCAUGGCCUUUAUAUCUAGGGCUACACACACGCUACAAUGGCGCGUACAAUAGGUAGCGAAGCCGCGAGGUGAGCCAAUCCAGUAAAGCGCGUCGUAGUUCGGAUUACAGGGUGCAACUCGCCUGUAUGAAGUUGGAGUUGCUAGUAACCGCAAAUCAGCACGUUGCGGUGAAUACGUUCCCGGGCCUUGUACACACCGCCCGUCACGUCACGGGAGUUGGUCACGCCUGAAGUCGGGAGGCUAACCGUAAGGGAGCUACCGCCGAAGGCAGGGCUGGUGACUGGGACGAAGUCGUAACAAGGUA